GCAACUCCAUAGAGAUAGAGCACAGGGAAGUAAAAGAAGCAAAUGUGAGUAUCAAUUCAUAGCUAGAAAUAGGAUAAAAAUUCAAUAGAAACAGAUAUAAAACAGGUUAAGGUGGCAAAAAACCGGAAGGCAUUUAAUAAUCACAUACAUAUCGGUAGAAGUUUAAAGAUAACUUCUAAAUUCAAAUUGUUUCUCGAUCAUCCAUCAAAUUAAUCAAUCUUUAUCAACCAUGUAUUCCUAACUGACAAAAUCCACAUAUUUUCUUUCCGUUCUUCCAAAUUUUCCUUCUUUUCCUUCUAAAUGAUCAGCAAACAAAUUAUAAAUCGGAAUUGAAAAAGAAAGCGAACCUGUAUACUAAAGUCG
rnacentral:misc_RNA from 1 species